CGUCACCAAAUUCCUUGCAUUUGCCAUAGGCUUCCUGGAUCUGUUUGAGAAGAGCCAAUUUUUCCUCGGAGCUCAGGCUGCGGGCGCUACUCAUAUACUCAGUGGCCAACUUGUCAAUUUCAGCCUUCAGGUCUACAACAGAGACAGAGGCCUGGUCACAAAGGCCCCGGAGUGGCUAGGUGAAACACACUUCUUCCUCUUGUUUCUUGGACCUUUGCCAUUGACCAUCAUCAUAACCUUCGAACCAAAACGCCCCGAGAGUUCACAGGCAAGAAAAGAAUGGGAGGCCGGUUGCAUCUAGGGCUCCCUUCUCUCAGAGAUCAGGGAGGUCGAGCCUCUACUCUUCCACCAGCCCCAACUUUGAGGAUUAUGAGGGUAACGAGAGGAACUUGAUUUCAGACUUUGAAAAGGCUCCUUUCCCCGACUUCCUGUGUAUAAAGUACAUCCCUUGGGUAGUUCUCAAGUUCCUGAGAUGAUAAUGAGGACAAACUGACUAUAUUCCCCAGAAGAACUUCUCUUUCACAUCCGGUGUUCCACUGACCACCUCCACCCUCGAGUCCCUUGGUUAUCAACCACUACCGCAAAGAGCCGAGCACAUGGAGCCAAAGGCAGCGCUCUGGGUUGACAUCCACAGCAGCUGAUACACUUUCACCCAUCACCUGAGUGGGCAAUCCUUCCUGUUCUGACAUUGCCCAAGAAUAUCAAAUAAGGAGGCCUCUAAGCGAGAUAAGCCACAACUAUUCAGACUUUAUCAAGUAGGAGUUAUCUGUGUUGAAGCUGGAAUGCUCUCGUUCCUGAACAACUCUGCAGUGCACCGUGUGAGCUAGUAGGAAGGGCAACACCUGGAAGCCAGGCAACUGGGGAAAAAGUCCCUCUGCUCUGGUUCCUCCCCAACUUCUUUCUAGAAUCGGGGCUGGGGACAGUGGGGGUGAUGAUUUCGGCUUUUUCUUGGUCCCAGGAGAAUUUUUAGAGGAUAACGGAGAUUAUCCUCUGGACUAAAAAGAACUCUGUGCUUCUCAAAGAAAAAAAAGACUACAUUAUUCAGGGGUAUGAUCUCUAUAUUAAUGUCAUGAAAAUUCUAGUCAUGGAGGUCAAUUUCUAUUUCUCUGGGUACCUUGAAAACUCUGAAAGAAAUCUGAUUCCCAGUUACCAAUUCCUGGCUGUUGUCUGGCAUGCCCAACCAUUAUAUGGGAGGUCAGAGGUUCUGUUUAUAGUCAGUAAAGUCCAAAGGACACAGCCAAUGGAAGUUCCGACACCUGGGCUCUACUCAGGGCUCAGUGGCAAGCUUGCUCCUCAAUCUAGACCUCAAUUUUCUGGUCUGUAAAAUGGAGAGAUAAAUAAAUAUCUGCCCCUAGAAGGGACAACACAAACACCCAGCACAGUCAAAGGGAAGCCAAACGUUCUCUAAUAAGAAAACUGCACUAAUAUUAACAGUACCAGUGCCAAUGGAUGAGCUCAGGCUACUAUACGUUCCACUGAGGUUAGAAACUGGACACAUUGUCACUAGGAGGGGAACAUUACUAAAGUUACAAAAUAAUUUCCCUCAGUUGCUAAAAUUUCUCCCACAAGUGGAACAUUCAUUUUAACUGGAACAAAAGCUCAUAGUUUGUGUGUAAGUGUGGAACACACAACUGUACCUUUAACGUGAAAUUAACAACACAAGAAAAAAUAACUCUCUUUACCCAAGUUUUCAACUAGAGAAGAAUCCGCAAAAAACAAAUUCACAAUGGACAGGAGCUGUCUCACAAGGUAGAAGAUUUAACAGUGAUGAUCAUAAUAAUGAUAGUAAUAGUUGCCAUUUGUUGUGUGGAUACUGCCAGCACCCACACGCCAGUUAGGUGCUUUAGACACAUUGUUUCCACUCCUCACAACAACCUGGCAAGUAUUAUCCCUGGCUUACAGAAAGGAACCCCAAGGCUCAGAAAGGUUAAGUAAUUUGCCAAAGGGCAAACACUUAUUCACUACAAAGCUAUGACUCUAACCUAAUUUGAGAUUCCUCACACUAGAGGUAGUCAAGGAGAGCAGACUCAUCUGUCAGAAUGUCCAGAAGACUACAACUAGCGAGAAGGGGAUAGCUUAGGUGACUAUUAAAGUAUUUCCAACUCUGAAAUCCUAUGAAGCCAGAUAAAAGAGCAGAGGUCCUUUAAUUUGAAGUGUUGGGUGGAUGGAAAGAAAUCUGAUUUAGGAGCACUGUGGCAGUGAGCAGUUAGGACGCAGAAAAGCUACCACCCCAUAUCACUAGGUGCAAAAUGCCAGAGAGCCAUUCACAUCCAACACAAGAAUACGGCCCCUUUGGGGGCACGCAAUGCAAUGGCCCUGUUUACAAUAACAACUGUUUUCCCGAAGAUAUUAAAAAAUAAUUUCAGAUACUCUGAUUUUCCCUCCAAAAAACAUUUCCAAAUGAUAAAUUGGGGCCAUGACUGAUCUUCCCAUUUGAAAGAUGGGAUCAAAGAGCUAGAAAUAAGUUACUUGUCUAGACUAAUAGAACCCAAGUCCAACGAUACCCAGUCAAAUGCCACGGACCACAGGAAUGGACGUGGUUGACCCAAACGUGCAGAGAAAUAGGGUGUUUUUUUUUGUUUGUUUGUUUUGUAUGUGAUUAAAAAGUAUCCUUAAGAACUUCAGGGUUUUGAGUUUCUGAAGAAAUUCCAUUCACCAAGAAUAUAAUGAGGUGCCCUUAAUUUCAGAGUUCUCCUUAGUCACCUGGGGUCAUGGGGCCAGUCAACAAUCCCCAAAACACUGAAGGUAUAGAAAAUGCUAUCAGGGCUUCCUUCCAAUCGUAUAUUCACGUUUCUGCCCACAGACACGGUUUGGGAAGUCCAGAGAUAGCUUUAAUGUGGGUCCAAAAAAUAUACAACCAAAAUAAAAACAAACCCUUGGCAGAAUCAGAGGACCCUGAUCCAUGUGCAAAGCUCCAUAGGGGUCAGAGACCUAGCCCAUUACUCUUACAAGAAAUUUUCUAGAGGUGUAUCUCCAUGUCACAAUGACCUCACUAUAAGCAAAUACAUAAAAAAUCCAAAUUUCUACAAAGCAAGGGGAUUUUCGUUUUAUGAAGUGAUAUAUAAAAGGUGCUUUUAAAUGAAAUCAAACUUGUCAGGUACCUUUAUAAAAUGGUAUGAUGUAAACAUUUUCCUAGGAACACUUUUAUUGUAUAAAAUGGGAUAUACCUAUAAUAAUAAAGCUGCAAUGAACUUUCAGAUUAGGAGCUGGAACUCUGUGGUGCUUGAUACUUUCUGCAUAGCAACACUCCCCUCGUUUUCACUUACAAGUAGGAAUUUAAAUACUCUGUGGUCUUGGCUACUCUCCACAGUAGAAGUGUAUGACACAGAAGUAAACGCUAAACGACGAUGAUUUCUUUUACAGUUCCCAACAUUUCAAAUCUCAGCUGAUAGGUACUCCUACCAAAUGGGAGGCAUGAACAGAAUUCUCCCCAUUUUACAGAUGAGGAAACUGAGGCCCAGAGAGGGGGGAAAGGACUUGCCCAGGGUCACACAGCAAGUUGGUGGUGGAGCCGGGGACUGAAUCCAUGAGCCCAAGGCUCUGUCCAUUUCCUGUGCCGCAGUUCCCUUCGCUCCUAAAAUGGGAACAACAUUGCCCAUCUCGGUACACUAAGGACAGACCCAGUCUCCCAGCCAUGCACCUCUGCCCCUGUCUGCAUCACAGCUGUGACCGUGGUUAUCCCACUCUCUAACCUGGGACCAGACUUCCCAAUCCCACUAGGGCCCUUGAUAGUUUUUCAAGGGGAUUAAA